rnacentral:tRNA from 1 species
GGAGAGUUCGCAUAGUGGACUAGUGCAGUCGCCUUGAAAGCGACCACGGCUGGGGACAGUCGUCGUGGGUUCGAAUCCCACACUCUCCG